UUUGUGUGCCUGUGAGUUCAUGUCAGGAAACCUUUUUUGCCUCGUCUUGCCAUGCCAGGAGUUAUUUUUUGCUACAGUUUGCUUUUAGAUCUCAAGUCACAAGGACCCCAGCCGGGUACAGUCUGACCCAGCAUGAUAAUCCCCUUGCUGCCAGGACCCCUAAUCAGCUCUCCUCUCGACCUGAAACAGGCUAGCUAAUGGGAAAGCCAACCUGACACAGAAGGAAUGAUUGUGGGAGGAAACCGGAGAACCUGGAGAAAACCCACACAGACACAGGGAGAAUAUCCCCCAAACCAGGAUCUGCACCUGGAACCCUCUUGCUGUGCAGGUGACGAUGCUAACCACUGCACCACCAUGCCGCCCAUCCACAAAUCAAUCAACUGUGAACUAAAGCCCAUGGGUAGGACAUUUAUCCCUGACUCUUCAUAGCACUGUAAUAUUUUUUUUUCAUGAGGAUGCAAAAAAAUGGCAUCUUAAAACAUUGUGAAGUAGAGUAGAAGUCAGUAGAUGUAACCAUAGAAGAAACGUCAA